UACGGAGGAUGCGAGCGUUAUCCGGAUUUAUUGGGUUUAAAGGGUGCGUAGGCGGCAUUAUAAGUUAGUGGUAAAAUAUUGGGGCUUCACCUCACUACGCCAUUAAUACUGUAGAGCUAGAGAACAGACGAGGUAGGCGGAAUAAGUUAAGUAGCGGUGAAAUGCAUAGAUAUAACUUAGAACACCGAUAGCGAAGGCAGCUUACCAGUCUGCGACUGACGCUCAGGCACGAAAGUGUGGGUAUCGAACAGG
rnacentral:rRNA from 1 species